CUGAUAUUUCAACCUGCAAGACAAAAAAGAAGGAGGCCGGUAAACAGGGGAAGAGAGAAAAACAUGGAGAAUUGGUACUCACCCUUCAAGACUUCAGCCUGAAAACCCACACAACACUUCUGCUCAUGGCCCAGUAAUUCUAACUCAGAGAACAUGGGCUAUUUGGCAAGAAGUUGUUGCUUCUGCCCCAGAGAAAAGGAGCAUUCCAGGCUGAGGAACAAGCACGUGCAAAGGCAUGAAUGGGUAAAACUGCAUGGCAUGCCAAGGGAGAGCAAAUAAAUCCAGGACACAAUAGGUCUUCGAUGUCAUUCAUAGACAAAUGGAAGCUCUCAUGGAGAAGCAGCAGAGUUUGCCUUGUUUUGCAAAAUUAUAGAUGGUUUUAGAUGUGCAAAAUUAUAGAUGCAAAAAGGAGGGUAUGCAGUUGUAGCCAUGCCCUUGGACUUCGCAGCCUCCAUAAUCGUGAGCCAAAUAAGCUUCUUUUCUUUGUAAAUUGCCCAGUCUCGGGUAUUCUGUUAGAGCAACAGAAAAUGGACUAAGACAAAUAAUCAAGAAAUACUUCCUAGAGGAAGUGAACUUGGAAGGGAACCCAUGGUACGGCCAAGUAGAGAAAAAGGAGGAGUAAACCUUUCUGUAUCAGAGGAAAUAAUCAUGCAGGAGAGAGCACAGUUCAGGCAGAGGCAAUGAGGAAAAGUAAGAGAAUAUGGUCACUAGAAGCACUAUAGAUGAGUCUCUUGUACUUAGACACUGCAAUCCUAAUUGCACAGGAGCUCAAAAGGGACAGCAAUCAUAGGAUGGUCCUGUGGUUUGAAGGUGACUCCCAAAAGUUUGUGUGUUUGAAACUUAGUUGAUAAUGUAUACAAUUUGGUGAAGGCAAGAGAAUAUGAUUCCAAGAUUUCCUACCUCUCUGCCAAGCCAAUGGUGGUAGUCAGUAUUUAAAACAGGAAACACAAAAGAAAGCAGCCUGUUUUGAAAGAGAAAAACUUGUUUGUGCCGUGCUCUGGAACAUAUACACAGAAAUGUGUAGCAGCCAACUGGAAAUAACAGCCUCAAGCUCUGGGGUGAGGAGAGGCAUCCCAGGAUGAAGGUACAACAGAAGCAAAGGAAUGGAGACAGGAAAUAUCAGGGUAUACAGGAGACCUACAGUAAGAAUGAAGGUCAUUCCUCACCCAUUUACUCUGCCCUUGCCGCCCUCCUCAGAGUUAUUUCCCGCUGCCUGCUACACAUCUGCACCUGGAGGGCCCCUCAAACGCAAUCAACUCUUUGGCUCCUAUCAACCAAAUCCAGAGCCAUCCAUCCAUACUGCUCUGUCUUCAUUGAACUGUUUCAAUCUUGCAGUAUCUAUUUUUCUGCCAUUAAUCAUAAUUUUUUUUUUUUUUGAGACGGAGUCUUGCUCCGUCGCCCAGGCUGGAGUUCAGUGGCGCGAUCUUGCUCAUUGCAAGCUCCGCUUCCCAGGUUCACGCCAUUCUCCUGCCUCAGCCUCCCAAGUAGCUGGGACUACAGGCACCCACCAACACGCCCGGCUAAUUUUUUUGUAUUGUAUUUUCAGUAGAGACAGG
rnacentral:lncRNA from 10 species